rnacentral:rRNA from 1 species
GCACGACAAGGUUAAUCCGAGUGAUUUCUGCUAAAGAAAUCUUUUGCAAGUCAUAAAACCACUAGUGAAUAAGGGGUGGGCAAGUUCUGGUGUCAGCCGCCGCGGUAAAACCAGCACCUCAAGUGGUCAGGAGGAUUAUUGGGCCUAAAGCAUCCGUAGCCGGCUCUGUAAGUUUUCGGUUAAAUCCAUGUGCUCAACACAUGGGCUGCCGAAAAUACUGCAUAGCUAGGGAGUGGGAGAGGUAGACGGUACUCGGUAGGAAGGGGUAAAAUCCUUUGAUCUAUCGAUGACCACCUGUGGCGAAGGCGGUCUACCAGAACACGUUCGACGGUGAGGGAUGAAAGCUGGGGGAGCAAACCGGAUUAGAUACCCGGGUAGUCCCAGCUGUAAACGAUGCAGACUCGAUGAUGCAUUGGCAUAUAGCCAGUGCAGUGUCGCAGGGAAGCCGUUAAGUCUGCCGCCUGGGAAGUACGUACGCAAGUAUGAAACUUAAAGGAAUUGGCGGGGGAGCACCACAAGGGGUGAAGCCUGCGGUUCAAUUGGAGUCAACGCCAGAAAUCUUACCCGGAGAGACAGCAGAAUGAAGGUCAAGCUGAAGACUUAC